UUGAAUGCGAUUCUCUGAGAGGCUGUGCACCGAUAGCCACACCCUCAUCGGAUCUGGCCGCACCCUUUCGCCAUUCCACGUGACCGAAAUAGAAGAGAGGCUGUUUCAAUCGUGG